UACGGGGGGGGCAAGCGUUGUUCGGAAUUACUGGGCGUAAAGGGCUCGUAGGCGGCCAACUAAGUCAGACGUGAAAUCCCCAGGCUCAACCUGGGAACUGCGUCUGAUACUGGAUGGCUUGAAUCCGGGAGAGGGAUGCAGAAUUCCAGGUGUAGCGGUGAAAUGCGUAGAUAUCUGGAGGAAUACCGGUGGCGAAGGCGGCAUCCUGGACCAUAACUGACGCUGAGGCGCGAAAGCUAGGGGAGCAAACGGG
rnacentral:rRNA from 1 species